rnacentral:rRNA from 1 species
UACGAAGGUGGCAAGCGUUGUUCGGAUUUACUGGGCGUACAGGGAGCGUAGGCGGUUGGAUAAGCCCUCCGUGAAAUCUCCAGGCUUAACCUGGAAAGUGCAGAGGGGACUGUUCAGCUAGAGGAUAGGAGAGGAGCGCGGAAUUCCCGGUGUAGCGGUGAAAUGCGUAGAGAUCGGGAGGAAGGCCGGUGGCGAAGGCGGCGCUCUGGAACAUUUCUGACGCUGAGGCUCGAAAGCGUGGGGAGCAAACAGG